rnacentral:rRNA from 1 species
UGGGGAAUAUUGGACAAUGGGGGCAACCCUGAUCCAGCGACGCCGCGUGUGUGAAGAAGGCCUGCGGGUUGUAAAGCACUUUUAGUGGGGAUGAAAAGCACAUUGCUAAUACCAGUGUGUCUUGACCUAACCCAAAGAAAAAGCACCGGCUAACUCUGUGCCAGCAGCCGCGGUAAUACAGAGGGUGCGAGCGUUAAUCGGAAUUACUGGGCGUAAAGCGUGCGUAGACGGUUAUUUAAGUCGGAUGUGAAAGCCCCGGGCUCAACCUGGGAAUUGCAUUCGAGACUGAAUAGCUAGGGUGCGGUAGAGGGAAGCGGAAUUUCCGGUGUAGCGGUGAAAUGCGUAGAUAUCGGAAGGAACAUCAGUGGCGAAAGCGGCUUCCUGGACCAGCACCGACGUUCAGGCACGAAAGCGUGGGGAGCAAACAGGAUUAGAUACCCUGGUAGUCCACGCCAUAAACGAUGAGGACUAGACGUUGGAGGGGUAAGCCUUUCAGUGUCGUAGCUAACG